GACGAACCGUGCGAACGUUGUUCGGAAUCACUGGGCUUAAAGGGUGCGUAGGCGGGUUGUCCAGUCUGGGGUGAAAUCCCACGGCUCAACCGUGGAAUUGCCUCAGAUACUGACGACCUCGAGGGAGGUAGGGGCGAGCGGAACUGUGGGUGGAGCGGUGAAAUGCGUUGAUAUCCACAGGAACUCCGGUGGCGAAGGCGGCUCGCUGGACCGACACUGACGCUGAGGCGCGAAAGCUAGGGGAGCAAACGGG
rnacentral:rRNA from 1 species